UAUACCUACAGCAGGUCUUGUAAAUGUAGUAUUGUCAAAGGAAAUGGAGAACGCAGCUCAGUAUCUAAUGGUAUUGAAGCUUUGGCUAAAUAACUUCCUGU